GAACAACCAAGCAACAACAUCUCCAGGAACAUCAGUGCUAAGGGCUUGGUGAGACCAUGGCUUGUAUGUUACUAAUCAUCAAUUCAUUGAUGGUUAAAUUCAUAAAUGUGCCAACAACCCCCAAGUCUUGAAUGACCCACCAGUCUUGUCUCCCACUACCCACCAAGCAAUAGUGUCUCCAGGAACAUUGGUAUGAAACUUUUGUUCAUACAGAAUGGCAGACAUUAUGCUCGCUACAAGUAUUUUACCCUUCCCUGAUGAAACGUGAUGAAUUAAUAUACAAUUACAUUGAGUUAGAAUCAAUACUAGGAAAACAUUACCACCAAAUAAGUCAGUGUCACAACUGGAUGUGGUGUUGUGCUGUAAUUAGUGUAACGUGUCAUGCUAAUGUUACCAUCCUACUAUGACUUUAUGCUUCAUAGUCCACCAAUAUCUCAUAAGCCAUUGUUACUUGACUGACCACGCUAGUUAUUCAUUCAGUCUUUCUGGUGGGUCGUUCACACUAUGUAGGAAUCAAUGCGGUCUAUGGGCAGGCAAUGUGCUGAACAGGCAAACAUGGCUAACUAUUUUGGUCGACUACCAACAAAAUAAUUAUAGAAUCACAAAACAUAACAGAAAAUGCAUAUAGCAUUUCUUACCUAUCUUUCAGUGUUGGGGCUUGCACAAUCACAACUUGUACAGCCUCAGGUUCCCUCGAAAUCAGACUGUCUCCUCCAGUAUCUCCCUGACAAAUUCAUGUUUGUGUGAUGUUACUGUACCAAAUUGUAUAGCGGGGUGAAAUGUUGUCGACCACCUAGCUAGCUAGUAUUAUAAUCUGCAAAUGAAACACACUAUCAUGUCAACAAUCUGCAUAUCUAGCUUUAGCUAGCUAACGUUAGCUGGUUGAAAUAAAGGGAUUGGGCAUCUUGUGAGGUUUAUGCAAUUUAGCUACAUAAUGCUGUUAGAUUCCAUUGGGUACAAAACAGUCAAUGCAGAAGAUGUUAGCUAGCGAAGUAGCCUUGUUAGCUAGCUUGAACACUGAACACACUAAGGUUAGCAGCUAACUUAGCUAGCAGGCUAAAAACGCAACCCAAAACAUACCUAGUUAGGGUGGACACAUGACAUUUUUAACAAUGCUUUUUUUAAAUAAAACGUAGUUAAUUGCAUCCGCGGUGGAGCCCAGUUUCAUAAUAUUACCAUAUAUCCCAGCUGCCUGUCAUAGUUUUGAAGUAAUCAUGAAAAAAACAGGCCUUAUUUUAGGUCAUUUUCACACUGCCAGCUCCUAUUAGUUCUAUUGACCAAUGUGGCACCAACUCGCCUUCCGAACGUUCUAAUCCCAUUUUGUUGUACUAUGUCACAAUGGGCAGCUUCGCUAUAGUUGGCAAUGGAGACCUGCUCACGUUGUUUAUAGUUAAAAUGUAAACAACAAAAAAUGACUAAUGGAACUCUGAGGUCGUCCAUUG